rnacentral:rRNA from 1 species
GGGGCGGUAUUACAUGCAGUUCGAAACGGACACCCUUUGAAGGGAGUUCUUUCGGAACAACUGAGAAGGACUGUUUAGUGGCGGACGGGUGAGUAACGCGUGAGUAACCUGCCUUGGAGCGGGGAAUAACACAAAGAAAUUUGUCGCUAAUACCGCAUAAUGCAGCUGAGUCGCAUAGGCUCUGGUUCGCCAAAGAUUUAUCGCUCUGAGAUGGACUCGCGUCUGAUUAGCUAGUUGGCGGGGUAACGGCCCACCAAGGCGACGAUCAGUAGCCGGACUGAGAGGUUGGCCGGCCACAUUGGGACUGAGACACGGCCCAGACUCCUACGGGAGGCAGCAGUGGGGAAUAUUGGGCAAUGGGCGCAAGCCUGACCCAGCAACGCCGCGUGAAGGAAGAAGACUUUCGGGUUGUAAACUUCUUUUCUCAGGGACGAAGCAAGUGACGGUACCUGAGGAAUAAGCCACGGCUAACUACGUGCCAGCAGCCGCGGUAAUACGUAGGUGGCAAGCGUUAUCCGGAUUUACUGGGUGUAAAGGGCGUGUAGGCGGGAAAGCAAGUCAGAUGUGAAAACCAUGGGCUCAACCUGUGGCCUGCAUUUGAAACUGUUUUUCUUGAGUACUGGAGAGGUAGACGGAAUUCCUAGUGUAGCGGUGAAAUGCGUAGAUAUUAGGAGGAACACCAGUGGCGAAGGCGGUCUGCUGGACAGCAACUGACGCUGAGGCGCGAAAGCGUGGGGAGCAAACAGGAUU